rnacentral:rRNA from 1 species
CAGCCGCCGCGGUAAUACGGAGGGGGCUAGCGUUGCUCGGAAUUACUGGGCGUAAAGCGCACGUAGGCGGCUUUGUAAGUUAGAGGUGAAAGCCCGGGGCUCAACCCCGGAAUAGCCUUUAAGACUGCAUCGCUUGAACGUCGGAGAGGUGAGUGGAAUUCCGAGUGUAGAGGUGAAAUUCGUAGAUAUUCGGAAGAACACCAGUGGCGAAGGCGGCUCACUGGACGACUGUUGACGCUGAGGUGCGAAAGCGUGGGGAGCAAACAGGAUUAGAGACCCCAGUAGUCCCUGUCUCUUAUAC